GACGAACGCUGGCGGCGUGCUUAACACAUGCAAGUCGAACGAUGACGACCGAGCUUGCUCGGUCUGAUUAGUGGCGAACGGGUGAGUAACACGUGAGCAACCUGCCCUUCACUCUGGGAUAACCUCGGGAAAUCGGGGCUAAUACCGGAUAUGAGCUCCUGUCGCAUGGCGGGUGUUGGAAAGUUUUUCGGUGAAGGAUGGGCUCGCGGCCUAUCAGUUUGUUGGUGAGGUAGUGGCUCACCAAGGCGAUGACGGGUAGCCGGCCUGAGAGGGCGACCGGUCACACUGGGACUGAGACACGGCCCAGACUCCUACGGGAGGCAGCAGUGGGGAAUAUUGCACAAUGGGCGAAAGCCUGAUGCAGCGACGCCGCGUGAGGGAUGACGGCCUUCGGGUUGUAAACCUCUUUCAGCAGGGAAGAAGCGAAAGUGACGGUACCUGCAGAAGAAGCGCCGGCUAACUACGUG
rnacentral:rRNA from 1 species